ACCAACACUUCCUUUCAUAGGCACCAAAUCGAAUGUGCAGUCCAGGUUAACAAUAAUAACUCAGUAUAGAUAUGCAUUUCUAUGAGUGGAAAGUGAUUUUUGCCUGGAAGUGAGUGUGUAAAGAAACCACAAACUCUUUAACAACUACUGUUGUACAAAGCACAAGGGAGAGACAGAAAGAGAAGGCUCACCUGCAUGUCUCUCGAUUAGUUCUUUGAGAGGAAUGGACAUCUCCUCCUCCACGGUGCAAGGGGUGUUGACGUGACCCGAGAUGUUGAAGAGCUUUGUCCCAGAAUUCCUCUCUCUCCCAAAGCUGGCAAACCACGAGCCACCACGACGACAAAUGGUGCCAGGCUCCCCCUCGUCAGCGUUCACCACCAGAUACUUUGGCCUGGACAGAUUGACAGUGGGAGAAGGAACUGAAAAAUACAUACACUGACAUGAUAGCAGCAGUGUGAAACUUGGGCCCAGCUGUACUGCAAUUCAUAUCCUUUCUUUCACGCUCUGUCAACUGGAGAUAAGGACAACAUGCAGAGAUUAGGACAACAGUGGGGGCUAAAUAUUUGCCCCCUGUUUAGCUGACCUGCCAUCGCUGGGCUUGUUCAUGAACCCCCACUUCAUGCCUGUGGGGAACCCAGCUCCUCCUCUCCCACGCAGUCCCGAAACCUUCACCUCAUUGAGGAUCCAGUCUACCCCUUUCAGCAGAAUCUCCUUGGUCUUGUACCAGUCGCCACGACUCAAGGCCCCCUUAAGCCUGCAGAGGGAUAAAGCAGCACGUGAAAUGCAGAACUACAGAGUUAUAGCACUGAGGUUGUAGCUUUGAUUCCCACAUGAAUAAGGUCUGUAAGUAAAGUAAGGUAAGGUAAGUCUUGAGAAAAUAUCUACCUAUAUAUAUAUAUAUAUAUUCUGUGUAAUGGGACAUUAUCUAGUGCAAUGGCUGGAGUACUGGACUGUGGACCUGAAGACUGUGCUCAAAUCUCAGGAGUGUCACUGUUGAGUAUGUGUCUUCACCUGUGAGUAUGUGAGUGAGGUACUAAACUAAUACCUAAAUGUAUGGGUUACAUACUGCAAUUGGCAAAGGCUGAGCCUCUGUAAUGGUGUCUGGAAAGUAGUCUAUUGUAGGCCAAUGCAUGAAUAUCGGGGAUGCUGGUUUCAUCUGACUAGUGCUUGUGUGUUUUUGGUACAGUAGAUACCUCCAGUCGUAACGGCCAUACAGGUUGGUGAAAAUCCUGUUCUGAUCACUUAAGGGACCAAAUGUCGUCUUUUUAGGCUUUUCCUAGAAAAUGCAAAGGCAAUGUGCAUGACAUGCAGUCUGCAGUUAUGGAUGCAAAGCAUAGAGAUCUACAGUCUAUUCUCCUUUAAUACUGCAGGAAAAUACACUGCGGGACCACUGCUCCAACAGCACGCACAUACCAACUACACUGAGAAAGACUGCCAGUUGAAAGUUUAGAUAUGCAUUUGGUUAUGGUAAUAAAACACGGCAGGUUAAAUGCUGAAUUGUUACGACGUAGAAAAGCUUUGCGGUGAAAGAUGUUCGUGUGAACUUUUCCCCACAGUCUGCCAGAGCGGGAAGAGUACCUGCUAAGUAGAGGUGCAGUUGAACCUGAGCAGAGCAUUCGUACCGCACUGACCGGCCACGACCUGUGAGCGCGCCAGUGCAGCCACCAAAGAACGAGACAGGGAAAGCAUACUGCAGAGAAGAAACCCGUUCAUUUAGUGUAUAUUUUCAGUGUCAUGUAGACAGAAAGGGGACUGGAGACUUGCAAACAAUAAUAUUUGAAUGAAAAAAAUACAUGUUAAAUUACAGAAGUUAUGGCAAUUAAAAAGUAGAAUGACAAAGUAUUUAUUUAUAAAACAAUGUACGGAACAUGGUAAUACAAAUAACUAAAAAGUAUUUUUUGGUAGAAGAGUUUACACCAGUGUUGUGGCCAUUACUGAUGUUUCGUUUAAUUUUAACUGUCACUAACGUAUUUGGAAAGCAAC